GAUGAUUCUAAUACUUUUUCUUUCAUCUAGCACAGUUGGCACCUUUAUAAAGAUCUAGAAAUCCGUGUGUUGUACAUAAAUCUGGAGCUGUUGUUACUGCAGAUGUACCUUCCACAACUUGAUUUUCUGUGAUGUCAAUUAUUCAGACCUCCUCAAGAAUUGGAAUAUUAUCAAGAACAUGGAUACUCAAAAGUCAGUUCUGUGCCCUGUAAAGAAGAAUUUGAGGAGCUUAAAUAGCCUGCUGCUUUGAUCUCAUCUGUCCCUUAGGUUCUCUAAACAGAUUUUAUGACUUUCAAAUUUGGGUAUUUCAAUAGACGUUUCUAGUUUUUGUUACAUCAUCUUUGAAAAAUGCUUGCAAGAUGAAUAAAUUUACAUUCAGC
rnacentral:lncRNA from 1 species